UACGUAGGGGGCGAGCGUUGUCCGGAGUUACUGGGCGUAAAGCGCACGCAGGCGGUCUGCUAAGUUUGGAGUGACAGUUGGUGGCUUAACUGCCAAAGUGCUUCGAAAACUGACAGACUUGAGGGCUUCAGAGGGACACGGAAUUCCGGGUGGAGUGGUGAAAUGCGUAGAGAUCCGGAGGAACACCAAAGGCGAAGGCAGGUCUCUGGGCCGAUACUGACGCUGAGGAGCGAAAGCGUGGGGAGCGAACAGG
rnacentral:rRNA from 1 species